rnacentral:rRNA from 1 species
GCAUAUCAAUAAGCGGAGGAAAAGAAACCAACAGGGAUUGCCCCAGUAACGGCGAGUGAAGCGGCAACAGCUCAAAUUUGAAAUCUGGCCCCCCAGGGUCCGAGUUGUAAUUUGCAGAGGAUGCUUUUGGCGCGGUGCCUUCCGAGUUCCCUGGAACGGGACGCCAUAGAGGGUGAGAGCCCCGUCUGGUCGGACACCAAGCCUCUGUAAAGCUCCUUCGACGAGUCGAGUAGUUUGGGAAUGCUGCUCAAAAUGGGAGGUAUAUGUCUUCUAAAGCUAAAUAUUGGCCAGAGACCGAUAGCGCACAAGUAGAGUGAUCGAAAGAUGAAAAGCACUUUGAAAAGAGGGUUAAAAAGUACGUGAAAUUGUUGAAAGGGAAGCGCCCAUGACCAGACUUGGGCCCGGUGAAUCAUCCGGCGUUCUCGCCGGUGCACUUUGCCGGGCACAGGCCAGCAUCAGUUUGGCGCGGGGGAUAAAGGCGUUGGGAAUGUGGCUCCUCUUGGAGUGUUAUAACCCAUCGCGCAAUACCCUGCGCCGGACUGAGGUACGCGCAUCGCAAGGAUGCUGGCGUAAUGGUCAUCAGCGACCCGUCUUGAAACACGGACCAAGGAGUCGUCUUCGUAUGCGAGUGUUCGGGUGUCAAACCCCUACGCGGAAUGAAAGUGAACGCAGGUGAGAGCUUCGGCGCAUCAUCGACCGAUCCUGAUGUUCUCGGAUGGAUUUGAGUAAGAGCAUACGGGGCCGGACCCGAAAGAAGGUGAACUAUGCCUGUAUAGGGUGAAGCCAGAGGAAACUCUGGUGGAGGCUCGCAGCGGUUCUGACGUGCGAAUCGAUCGUCAAAUAUGGGCAUGGGGGCGAAAGACUAAUCGAACCUUCUAGUAGCUGGUUUCCGCCGA